CCUCCUCCCCUCCAACCUGAAUACCUGCUGUUGCAGGUAUACACGCAUAGCCUCCUUCUCUUGAUUAUCUCUUCCUCUUUCAGACUUGCCGAGUUGCCAUGUUAUUCAGAGGCCUCGGUCGUUUCCUUCCAUGUCUCUCCCCCCCGAUAUUUUCUCCUUAUUCUUCCAUCCUCCUUCUUGUAUUCCUAUUCACCGAGCCCUUUUUUUUUCGCUACAUGAUUCUGUUUUCUUUCAUUCAUUUUGUUUCCAUCUGUUCUUCUCGUAUCCUGUAUGUGUACUUGACUGGAUCAAAUUGCCAGAAGGGACAAGAAAAGGAAGAAGUAAUAGAGGGAGCAGAGCGGUUGUGUUGGCGAGCAUUUUAUUUUUGCACUGCCAAUAUCAUCGGAAUUCUAAUACCAUGGUAUGUUUUUCCCCGUAAAUUUUCCUUUUUUCUCAAAUUUAUCGCAGUUUAUAAAAAGCAUCCAUUUCCGACCUCUUAACCCUUCUCGCGGACAUCCCAACUCGCAUCCCCACCCACCAUUAUACUCAUAACGCAUGGGGAAAAGAUCCGAAGAAGAACAGCAAUCUAAUAUUAAAUUAAAAUUCCGUUAUAAAUUUCUAAAAACUUUUAAUUUAUAGCUUUCAUCAGCUCUCGAUGAAAUUAUCAAAGCCUGUGCUAUAGCGACAACAAAAACGUUGAUAUUUCUACCGCUAGGUGACUUAAGAGAAUGAUCUUUACACUUCAGGCUGCUCAGGCCAGUGGCCUGAAAAGGCAAAGGCAGCAUCCCUUUCAGGCCACCGUUAGCGCUAGUUGUAUGUUAUAAAACACACCGCGCCACCGCCACUCUAUCGCUUCAUUCCAACAUGGUCUCCACGUACGUACGGGCAUGUCCGUACCAAAAAACCGUCGCAUUUCUAGCCUUCUCAUUGGCUCACAGGCUUCAGAGGGACCAGCCCUUUGCAGCCCUUGUUUACAUUUUUUAAAUGAUGACGUCUUUCGACGAAAGAGUUGCAGUAGCUUUGCAGGCAUUAGUUACGCCUGCAACUUUUGAAGGGAUUGUUACGCAGCUUGAAGAAAACAACAAGAGAAGCAACGUACAACAACUUUAAUCGAUCAACGAGUAAGAAUCAAUAAACCAAGGGAAAUCUAGUGCUUUACGAGUCAACCUGAGCUGGCCUGAGGAUGGAGAGUGGAUGCUAUCAAGAAUAAGGCUCAAAAGAAGUAUCUUAAUAUGACCUUGGAACGGAAGACCCAUAAUCCUUAGAAGUCAGACGGUGGAAAUCCUGGCAAUCAGACUAAGCGAUUAUAUAGUCUUCAUGACAAGCAUGAGGCCAAGUUAGUCUUCAUGACAAGCAUAUGCAGGUGUCAUUGAAUAAUCAUUGCCAUUCCUUUGUCUUUGAUUUGUGUGAAAACACCAAACAGUUCUCGUGCAGUGUCAAAGGGUGCUUUAUGAUGAAGGUGCUGAAAUCCCAGAUAGCAGCAAAGCGCGCUUGGUUCAGCAUCAUAAAAUCAUCCAAAAGAAGGCGCGUAUCGACAAGAUAAUUGAUCGUCUCAAUGACAAUGAUGAUGGUGUUAUCGUGACGCAACCAGAUUUAGAUAGUGGUGAAUUCCCGUGAUACACACUUGGUUCAGUUCCUUUGAUCUAGUACUGUGCGGUCAUUGAUGCACAGAUGUUAAGGCUGCGAUAUAAGGAAGCAAUUCUUCAAAACCAGAACGAGAUGGCCAUGUUUGUUUGCUUCUCCGCCCGCUGAAUCUCCGUUCGCACAAGUGACGCUUUCACGGAUCGGUUUACGGAAUCCCCAAUGCACUGGAACUAUACCCAAAUUGAGCGACAGAGUGACUGACAGCUUUACGAAAUUCUAUUUGACAUUUAGCAGCAGACGACAAUUAAGUAAUCAAUCAAACUUUUAAUCGAAAUUUCUUGAAAUUGAAUUGCGUAAUUAGGGCAGUGUUUUUUCCUAUUUUUUUAUCGAUAAAAAAAGUAAAAACGACAUAAGAAAUUGAAUAUCAGCGUCCUCGAUCGUUCUUUAAAACCACUCUUAGAGAAACAAAGAAAAGUGAUUGCGUUCGUAAUUUUACGUUCGGUGAGAGGGGGUAACAAAAAUGUUGCUUUUUUUGUUUUUUUGUCGUAACUUGCAAUCUUCCCACGGUCCCUUCCCUGUCAUCACUAAUCCCAAAAUUCUUUUGCUGUUUCCCCUCCCCAUUUUUUUUCUCCCUUCGCCCAAUGUCUUCUCUUCCUUCCCCCAAUUUUUGAUCGCGACUCUUGAGUGAUGAGUCAUCUUUUUUCUUAAAUGGCUUUUUCGAAUCCUCUGCUGACUUAAAGAGUUGGCCGCCGCCUAGGGAAAAAGGAGUAAUAGGUGUUGGGUUUAUUUUGUAGACUUCAUUCUUUGGCAUGAAAAGCCUUGCCUUUCUAAGUUUCUAUUGCCUGGUAAAAAAGCAUUGCCUAGUAGUGGCCACCACUAGCGCUAGUUGUAUUGUUCCGUUUAACUCACCACGCCACCAACGCUCCAUUGUUCGAUCGUAUUCGUAUCAGUCUAUGCUGCAGUCGCGUGUUCGCCGUUCAUCGGAGAAGAAUUAGCCGAAGUUUACUUAGUAGAGGUUCCGUAUGUUUUUAUAGAUCUUUUUUUGUUUUUCGGGGUUUUAUUCUUUCUCUCUAACCUAUUUAUGUGAUGGGCCUCAACGCUCUAUUUCCUCCCUAUUCCGACCAUAUUUUCUGAUUCCUCGUAUCUUUUUAAGAUUUUAAAAUUUAUUUGUUUAUUCCGCGUGAGCUGGAGCGCUUUGUCGGUAUAUGAUUGGCUUUUGCGUGUGUCUUGACUCCAGUAGCGCUCAAUUCUUUUUUUAGUUCCUUGUCGUUUUUUCUUGUUUUUUUCCUCCGCGGCUUGUUAAAGUUUUGUUAUCUACAGGAAAUGAAGAUUGUUCAUGCAGGAUCAUCCUGGUAGGUUGGUAGAAGAUAUAUGUUCCACGUUCAGCUCAAAAAGGUUUAGUUGUUGGAUUUUGGUCUAUUCCCGAGGCAUUUUGGCCAGAAGUGAAUGUUCCCUAAUUGGUUCCUCGCACUGCUCAUCCUGUUGUCCAGUUAACCCGCACUAAUAAAAAACCUAUGAUGAUUGAAAAUCUUCUGUUCGCCAAGUAUGAAGUGGAACCUAGUCCACUACCUCAAUACAUUCUGUCAAGAAAGCAGGCAUCCAUGUUGACAGGUAUUUGUUCCAGACAGCUACAGGAGUUCUCAGUCUGCCCAUCCAUUUUGAUAUCUUAAAGGAAGCACAAAUCGAUCAAUCUUUUUGUGAAGUCUUAUUACUACCCUGCAUUACUCUCACUUUUGGACGAAUUUUUCCGAGUGCAUCGUUUGAGAGCAACAGCUGAAUGGCGACUGAAUGGGACUCAUCUAAAUGUUGUCUUUCUCCGAAAUACUGGAAUAGAGUGUCAGUGCUGUGGGGAUUGCCUCAAGAGUUAGUGCUGUGAAGAUUGUCCUCGAUUUCAAUCACCAUUAUCUACCAAUUCCACAACCAGUUGGAUGCCAGCAACCUUAAUCAGCCAAGCAACAGAACCAAAUAAAGUGAUUCUAUCGGAAACCACCUCAAGCACAUUCAUGAAAAAAGAUUGUUCAAGUGUCGACGUGUUCUCAAGAUUUGUCGGGAUAUCAACAAGAAGAAAGUGAUCAUCUUUAAAGCACCAGUAACAAAUAAAUUGUUUUGGUGCCUCAAUGAGCAACCUGCCAGUAUUAAACUAAAGGGAGUUGACAAAGAAGAGAAUGUGGUUAUGAGGAUCAUUUAAGAGGCAGGAAAUAAGGGCAUUUGGAAUAAAGACAUCUGCACCAAGUCUGGCUUGAAUCCAACAGACCUCAAAAAGAUACUCAAAGCUCACGAAGGGAAGAAUUUGAUCAAAUCUGUCUUGUCUGUUUCAGUUCCAAAGCGAAAAAAUUUGCAUGCUAUUCGAAUUCCAAUCUGACAGAACAGUUACAGGAGGUUCAUGGUACUCCGAAGGUGAAUUUGAAUCAGAGCUGGUGGAUAUUCUGAAUCAGCAAUGCUACAGGAUAUUGCAACAGAAAGCUGAAGCAGCCAAACUUAAAGCUAUGGACGGGCCCUUAAUAGUGCGCAUCGCGUCGUUUCUCUCUUCCAAAGAGAUAUGCCAAAUGAUUUCAGAUCUGAACAUAGUCAAGGUUAAUUUAACAGUUGAAGAAAUCGAAGCCAUUCUCGAAACGCUUGUCUAUGACAGAAAAAUCGAAAUGCGUAUGGUAUCCGAUGGCGAUGAGCAAAUCAAAACGUACAGAACUGUUGAAACGCUCCUGUCUUCUGCUGGAGUUGUUCGAAUCCCCUGCGGAGUUUGUCCAGUCAUCGUGAAGUGCGGUACUGCAGGUGAGGUUCAACCGAAAAAUUGCGCCUAUUAUGAUCAAUGGUUGGAUUAAAAGGAUGAAAUCCCAAGACACUACUUACAUCGAACCAAGGAAGGAUACUUUGAAUUUAAGAGUAAUGUAAAAAUUUAACUUAGAAGACUGUGGAAUGAAAUUUGUAUUAAAACUGUCA